rnacentral:misc_RNA from 1 species
CCUGUCCUUAGCAAGGACAAUGAGCUCGAUAUCUUCCUCAUGACCAAACCAAAAGGAUCGGGGAAGAUCAACCGAACAAAGUUCUUUUCUGUUUGCAACGUCAUAGGAAUCCAAGCGCAUGUGUAUAGUAUCGUACGUAUAAAGAAUUCCAUCAUCUGAAAGUGUGAUGCAACCGAGAAAUGGAUAAGAACCAUAAGGCAAGUCCCUCUGGUAGACACUCCAAGAGCCAUUUGAGCAAUUUGAGCAAUCUAAUUGAUACAAAAUGCGUUCAUCCGCCAUAUAGGCAAUGAGUGUACCUGGGGACAAAGAUGCUGAAGCAAU